rnacentral:rRNA from 1 species
GGAAUUUUGCGCAAUGGGCGAAAGCCUGACGCAGCAACGCCGCGUGUGUGAUGAAGGUCUUCGGAUUGUAAAGCACUUUCGACCGGGACGAACACCCCUUGGCUAACAUCCAAGGGUCUGACGGUACCGGGAGAAGAAGCACCGGCUAACUCUGUGCCAGCAGCCGCGGUAAUACAGAGGGUGCAAGCGUUGUUCGGAAUUAUUGGGCGUAAAGCGCGUGUAGGCGGCUUUGCAAGUCGGGUGUGAAAGCCCUCAGCUUAACUGAGGAAGUGCGCCCGAAACUGCAGAGCUUGAGUACCGGAGAGGAUGGCGGAAUUCCCCAAGUAGAGGUGAAAUUCGUAGAUAUGGGGAGGAACACCGGUGGCGAAGGCGGCCAUCUGGACGGAUACUGACGCUGAGACGCGAAAGCGUGGGGAGCAA